GAGGAAGUAACGUUCCUUUUCCUUCGGGACAGAGGAGACAGGUGGUGCAUGGUUGUCGUCAGCUCGUGUCGUGAGAUGUUGGGUUAAGUCCCGCAACGAGCGCAACCCUUACCUUCAGUAGCCAGCGAGUAAAGUCGGGCACUCUGGAGGGACUGCCAGGGAUAACCUGGAGGAAGGUGGGGAUGACGUCAAAUCAUCAUGCCCCUUAUGAUUUGGGCUACACACGUGCUACAAUGGCGUAAACAAAGGGAAGCGAAGCCGUGAGGUGAAGCAAAUCCCAAAAAUAACGUCUCAGUUCGGAUUGUAGUCUGCAACUCGACUACAUGAAGCUGGAAUCGCUAGUAAUCGCGAAUCAGAAUGUCGCGGUGAAUACGUUCCCGGGUCUUGUACACACCGCCCGUCACACCAUGGGAGUUGGUAACGCCCGAAGUCAGUGACUCAACCGAAAGGGGAGAGCUGCCGAAGGCGGGACUGAUAACUGGGGUGAAGUCGUAACAAGGUAGCCGUAUCGGA
rnacentral:rRNA from 1 species